AUUAUUUUAUACCUACAGAACUGUUGAAUGAAAAUUCAAUUAACUGCUGCAUAAUUGUAUAGUUAUGUAACGUAAGGAUCUCCGAUUAUAAAAUAAAAAGUAAAAGAAGUCCCCUGUUAAAGAAAAGCGAUGUGAUUACUGAUGGAGUUCAAGAACAAAGAAAACUGAAGUGAACAAGAAUCUUGUGCCCCACGUGACUAUAUGUGGGCCCGCUGUGCACGAGGAUUAAGGAUGCUUUCACUCUGUUCACGUGGGAAGAUCAUAAGCAAAAUUUCUCGUCCAGUGGCAGUACUAUUGUGAUCCGAGCAUAUUACUUGCUGGAGGACUGAUUCCAAUCAGAAUGCGACACAGUAGCACUCAUUGAGUUGACCUCCGGACAUGCUAAGAGAAAAUUCAUCACUUGACCAAUUCAGACAAUUUGUCUGCCUGAGAAAUGGAGAUGCGUAGGCGAUAUAUAGAUUUUGCUACCUUACAUGUAAUAUAAGGUACAGCCUUUUACAAGGCUGUAGGCCUAAAUAAGACCCAUAAUUCAAUUUGUGAGAGACUGUAAGGUAGCAGCUCCCUCUAUAUAUAUAUAUAUAUAUAUAUAUAUAGCACUCACACCCAAACAGGCUUUGCCUAACUUUCUGGAAAAUAUUAUUAACUGUACUGCAACUGAAAGAAAGGCUUUUGUCUUUUGAGCUGAUUGCAUUACUGCCCAGUGCAAAUUGAGCUUUCUUGAGAAAAGCAAAAAAUGAUCCUUUCCCUUUCUUUCUGGAUUAAAAAUCUUUCUCAUUAUCACGCGCAUGCAUCGUUGAGUGUGAGCUCGGCAAACUUCUAACGUUAUCUCUGACUUUGAUGAUUCCAGCCAAUUUCCUCUCUUUCAUACCAGAGGCGAGGGUAGUACAAUGAAGUUGCUAUGUAACGGCAC
rnacentral:lncRNA from 1 species